UACGUAGGGUGCGAGCGUUGUCCGGAUUUAUUGGGCGUAAAGAGCGUGUAGGCGGCCAGGUAGGUCCGUUGUGAAAACUCGAGGCUCAACCUCGAGACGUCGAUGGAAACCAUCUGGCUAGAGUCCGGAAGAGGAGAGUGGAAUUCCUGGUGUAGCGGUGAAAUGCGCAGAUAUCAGGAAGAACACCCGUGCGAAGGCGGCUUCUGGUCUGUAACUGACGCUGAGGCGCGAAAGCGUGGGGAGCAAACAGG
rnacentral:rRNA from 1 species